CGUGUAGGCGGUCGGCCAAGUCUGAUGUGAAAGCCCGAGGCUCAGCCUCGGAAGUGCGUCGGAAACUAGUCGGCUGGAGCGCGAUAGAGGAGGGUGGAAUUCCUGGUGUAGCGGUGAAAUGCGUAGAUAUCAGGAGGAACACCGGCGGCGAAGGCGGCCCUCUGGAUCGUUGCUGACGCUGAGACGCGAAAGCGUGGGGAGCAAACAGGAUUAGAUACCCUGGUAGUCCACGCUGUAAACGAUGGGUACUAGGUGUUCGGGGUAUUGACCCCCUGAGUGCCGCAGCUAACGCAUUAAGUACCCCGCCUGGGGACUACGGCCGCAAGGUUAAA
rnacentral:rRNA from 2 species